AGCUCCAAUAGCGUAUAUUAAAGUUGUUGCGGUUAAAAAGCUCGUAGUUGGAUUUCUGCCGAGGACGACCGGUCCGCCCUCUGGAUGAGUAUCUGGCUUGGCCUGGGCAUCUUCUUGGAGAACGUAGAUGCACUUGACUGUGUGGUGCGGUAUCCAGGACUUUUACUUUGAGGAAAUUAGAGUGUUUCAAGCAGGCAUGCGCCUUGAAUACAUUAGCAUGGAAUAAUAAGAUAGGACCUCGGUUCUAUUUUGUUGGUUUCUAGAGCUGAGGUAAUGAUUAAUAGGGAUAGUUGGGGGCAUUCGUAUUUAACUGUCAGAGGUGAAAUUCUUACGGACUACUGCGAAAGCAUUUGCCAAGGAUGUUCUCA
rnacentral:rRNA from 1 species